rnacentral:tRNA from 1 species
UCCCUGAUAACUCAGUUGAUAAAGAAUCUGCCUUCAAUGCAGGAGACCCCGGCUCAAUUCCUGGUUAGGAAG